AUUGAACGCUGGCGGCAGGCUUAACACAUGCAAGUCGAGCGGGGUGAUGGUGCUUGCACUAUCACUUAGCGGCGGACGGGUGAGUAAUGCUUAGGAAUCUGCCUAUUAGUGGGGGACAACAUCUCGAAAGGGAUGCUAAUACCGCAUACGUCCUACGGGAGAAAGCAGGGGAUCACUUGUGACCUUGCGCUAAUAGAUGAGCCUAAGUCGGAUUAGCUAGUUGGUGGGGUAAAGGCCUACCAAGGCGACGAUCUGUAGCGGGUCUGAGAGGAUGAUCAGCCACACUGGGACUGGGACACGGCCCAGACUGCUACGGGAGGCAGCAGUGGGGAAUAUUGGACAAUGGGGGGAACCCUGAUCAGCCAUGCCGCGUGUGUGAAGAAGGCCUUAUGGUUGUAAAGCACUUUAAGCGAGGAGGAGGCUCUUUUGGUUAAUACCCAAGAUGAGUGGACGUUACUCGCAGAAUAAGCACCGGCUAACUCUGUGCCAGCCGCCGCCGUAA
rnacentral:rRNA from 1 species